AAUAUCUCGCUUAAUCGCACUGGUGUCCUCCCCACCGGUGUGGACACAGCUUAUCCGCAAAGUUCCAGGCAGCGAAGUUCAGCGGCCCGGCCCAACCGCCGGACCUUCUUCCUGCGGCCCCCUGCUCCUGCGGCCUCGCGUCCCCACGUCUCACUUCACCUCCGACACCAGUGUCACCUAACACUGACGUCCCCGCCAGGAUCAGCAUCGGGGCUGGAAAUAGACGAGCCCCGUCUGCAGGAGACACGGAGACAAAGACAGGAGGACGGACGCACAGUCAGUCACCUCCUCCGGGCCGGGCCGGAGCAGCGGCGCCCACCCUGCAGAGGGGAGACCCUGACAGCUCCACGCGGAGACAAAGACACCUCGACAGCCACGGACACAGACAGACAAAGACGGACGGACGCGCGGACGCACGGACGGGCCAGCCCGGCACGGGGAGCUAGUUUUCCCUCAGCCAGGGCAGCAGACCCUCCAGGGGCGGGGAGACCCCCGGCCACCGCAUCUUACCUGCCCCCUGCGCCUCGGGCGCACUUGAGAUAUUUUUUUUUUUCCCAGUGUUUCCCGGUGUGUUCUCGUCUCUCUUUUUCCAGAGCUGCUAAGCGGGCCGGGCCGGUCCCACCGCGCGGGAUGCAGCUCCCGGCUCCUACUCGCCGGCCGAGGCGGGCAGAGAAACUUUCGGCCUCCCCGCCCGGCCGCUGCCAACCCGCCAGCUCCAGCGCGCCGGCCUCUGCGCGGGUCCCAGAGCCGGGGCGGGGCGGGGCGGGGCGGGGCCGGCCCGGGGCGGGGCCAGCGCCGGCGCCGCUGAUUGGCAGCGAGCUGCCGGCAGCCUGGUUUGUGCCGCUCGGCGGCCUUUGUUCCGGGCUGACAGCUGGGGCUGCUGGCGACCUCGCUGCUCCUUCGCGCCCGGGGCCUGCGCGGGGUCCCCGGUCCGGUCUCUCUGCUCUCACUUCCAUCAGCCCCAUCGGGCGACCCUGCCCCUUCGGUCUUCCUUUCUUGCCUGGCCCCCUUUCUCCGAUUGUUCCUGUCUUGCUCUUUACGCAUCCUUUUUUCCCUUUCAUUACCUGA
rnacentral:lncRNA from 1 species